CCUACGGGAGGCAGCAGUGAGGAAUAUUGGUCAAUGGACGAGAGUCUGAACCAGCCAAGUAGCGUGAAGGAUGACUGCCCUAUGGGUUGUAAACUUCUUUUAUAUGGGAAUAAAAUGUUCCACGUGUGGGAUUUUGUAUGUACCAUAUGAAUAAGGAUCGGCUAACUCCGUGCCAGCAGCCGCGGUAAUACGGAGGAUCCGAGCGUUAUCCGGAUUCAUUGGGUUUAAAGGGAGCGUAGGUGGAUUGUUAAGUCAGUUGUGAAAGUUUGCGGCUCAACCGUAAAAAUGCAGUUGAAACUGGCGGUCUUGAGUACAGUAGAGGUGAGCGGAAUUCGUGGUGUAGCGGUGAAAUGCUUAGAUAUCACGAAGAACUCCAGUUGCGAAGGCAGCUCACUGGACUGCAACUGACACUGAGGCUCGAAAGUGAGGGUAUCAAACGGGAUUAGAUACCCGAGUAGUC
rnacentral:rRNA from 1 species